GACGAACGCUGGCGGCGUGCUUAACACAUGCAAGUCGAACGGAAAGGCCCUGCUUUUGUGGGGUGCUCGAGUGGCGAACGGGUGAGUAACACGUGAGUAACCUGCCCUUGACUUUGGGAUAACUUCAGGAAACUGGGGCUAAUACCGGAUAGGAGCUCCUGCUGCAUGGUGGGGGUUGGAAAGUCUCGGCGGUUGGGGAUGGACUCGCGGCUGAUCAGCUUGUUGGUGGGGUAGUGGCUUACCAAGGCUUUGACGGGUAGCCGGCCUGAGAGGGUGACCGGCCACAUGGGGCCUGCGAUACGGCCCAGACUGCAACGGGAGGCAGCAGUGGGGAAUAUUGCCCAAUGGGAGGAAGCCUGAUGCAGCAACGCCGCGUGCGGGAUGACGGCCUUCGGGUUGUAAACCGCUUUCGCCUGUGACGAAGCGUGAGUGACGGUAAUGGGUAAAGAAGCACCGGCUAACUACGUG
rnacentral:rRNA from 1 species